rnacentral:misc_RNA from 1 species
CUAACUAAAUGUCUGAAACCAACCGCUUAUGGCAUACAAUUGAGUCAUAUCAAAUUUGUCCUUUCACUGAUACAUCAAUUUUGUGAAAAAAGAGAAGCAAAAAUAACUAAUGAAUAUUGCAUGAGAGACUCUAACAUAACCCAAUUAACGCACUAUUCCCAUGUGCUAGCACAAGUACUGCCAAGGAAAUCCUGGUGGAAUCCAUUAACAUGAAUUGCUACAAACUAUAAUUUAUAUAUCUUGAAUUUUUUAUCCUUUAGAGCGUGUCCAUUGUUGGUGCUAAAGGGAAGGAAUGUCCUCUUUUGGCAAGCUUGAAAACUAUAGGCCAUCAACAUGUCCUAAUGUUCAACUAUAAAUUGUAAUGAAUAAAGGCAGACCUCCAACUAUUCAUAUUAGACUAGUAGUCUAAAAAUAUCGAUAUCCGUGGCUCUGAAUCCUGAAUUUUCAUCUAUUUAUGCUCUUAUAUA